ACGAACGCUGGCGGCGUGCUUAACACAUGCAAGUCGAGCGGUAAGGCCCUUUCGGGGUUACGACGAGCGGCGAACGGGUGAGUAACACGUGGGUGACCUGCCCUCAGCUCUGGGAGUAAGCCUGGGAAACCGGGUACUAAUACUGGAUAUGACUCCAUGACGCAUGUUGUGGGGUGGAAAGCCUUGUGCGGCUGAGGAUGGGCCCGCGGCCUAUCAGCUUGUUGGUGGGGUGANGGCCUACCAAGGCGACGACGGGUAGCCGGCCUGAGAGGGCGACCGGCCACACUGGGACUGAGACACGGGCCCA
rnacentral:rRNA from 1 species